GGGGAUGUUUGGUUUUGACAGCAAGGCAAAUCGGAAUGUAAGCAUGUCGAGCGUCGAGAAGCCGGCUCGUAAAUCCCGGAACUCAAGCCUUAAAUGGCGACAACAACUAUGCUCUCGCAGCCUAAUACGCUAGGCGUAUUUGCAGGCUUAAUCGAGCAACCCAAGGCGGUUGUUUGACGAGGAUCCCGCAGUUGGCUCUCUUUUCGGCUGACUUGCAACGGGGUUUCAUCUUUCGAGAAGAUAGCGCGGACGACGCCUUUAACUCCGUGCGAAACUUAUAAGGCUAAGGAUAAGGUCGGCCAUCUUUUCGGCAAGCCUUUUCUCUAAAAUUAAAGGAAAGAUAAACAUGUAGAAAGCGUUUGGGUUACUUGUUUGGACGCGGGUUCGACUCCCGCCAUCUCCACAG
rnacentral:tmRNA from 1 species